UAUUACGGUGAUGAGCCUACAGACCUGUAAUGAGUUGCGGUGAUGAUCGCAAGUCUUUAGAACAUCUAAGGGACUGAGUUUCA